rnacentral:lncRNA from 1 species
UCUAUGCAACAACCACCACACUGAAUGCUUGUAUAGUUUCAUCAAGUAUUGUUGUUUCACGGUUCAAACCUUCUCAAAUAUGGUUGGAAAGGAGCACAAUGACAAUACCGGCAUUUGGGGCGCCGACUUUAUACGCCGAAAAAAGAAAAAAGGGAAAAUGCCAUGGUUUAAGGGCAAAUUUGAAGUCCAUCCCUUACCUGCAUCAAUCAUUGUCUAAAAUGCUUCGCC